rnacentral:lncRNA from 1 species
ACGUCGCCACAUCCUCCGGCUUCCUGGCUUCGGGCGUCUGAGCUCCCUUGUGGUUACUUUCGAUCAGCUCCGGCUUGGCUUCAUUUGACGUCUCCGUCUCUGCGUCGUUGAUGGUGACUGUGCUGUGCGUGAACUGGCUUCGGCCUCAAGCUUUCUCAGGCCUUCGGCUGCACAGUCAUGUAAAUAUGCGACCUACCUUCUCCUUAGGCGCGGUUGCGAGGUUGGACGGAGCCCUUCUCCUUAGGCGCGCCCGAAGCUCCGUUCUUCCAAAACCCAAGUUGGCUCCUGCAGACAAUUCAAUUC